rnacentral:lncRNA from 1 species
CUUUUUAAAGGCAGUAAUCGUUCUGGUCACUGCGACACAGCUGCCCUCGCCCAUUCUAAAAAGUCAGCGCCCUCAGGACCGCAGAGCUUAGAAGCAAAGUUAAGAGACUCAUCAGAUUCUGAGCUGCGGCGGGAUAUUUUGCAGAAGACUGUGAAGCAUCCUGUGUGUGUGAAGCACCCGCCGUCAGUCAAGUAUGCCCGGUGCUUUCUCUCAGAACUCAUGAAAAAGCCCUCGGGAGGCUCGGUCACACUCUCCAAGAGCACAGCCAUCAUCUCCCACGGCACCACAGGCCUGGUCACAUGGGACGCUGCCCUCUACCUUGCAGAAUGGGCCGAGAACCCAGCAGCCUUCACUCACAGGACUGUCCUAAAGCUUGGCAGUGGCGCCGGCCUCACAGGCCUGGCCAUCUGCAAGAUGUGCCGCCCCCGGGCGUACAUCUUCAGCGACUGUCACAGCCGGGUC